GACGAACGCUGGCGGCGUGCUUAACACAUGCAAGUCGAACGGCAAGGCCCUGCUUUUGUGGGGUGCUCGAGUGGCGAACGUGUGAGUAACACGUUAGUAACCUGCCCUUGACUUUGGGAUAACUUCAGGAAACUGGGGCUAAUACCGGAUAGGAGCUCCUGCUGCAUGGUGGGGGUUGGAAAGUUUCGGCGGUUGGGGAUGGACUCGCGGCUUAUCAGCUUGUUGGUGGGGUAGUGGCUUACCAAGGCUUUGACGGGUAGCCGGCCUGAGAGGGUGACCGGCCACAUUGGGACUGAGAUACGGCCCAGACUACUACGGGAGGCAGCAGUGGGGAAUAUUGCACAAUGGGCGGAAGCCUGAUGCAGCAACGCCGCGUGCGGGAUGACGGCCUUCGGGUUGUAAACCGCUUUCGCCUGUGACGAAGCGUGAGUGACGGUAAUGGGUAAAGAAGCACCGGCUAACUACGUG
rnacentral:rRNA from 1 species